CGGGUAACAAAGAGUAGUCAUCAUAAGAAUUGCCGGUGGUUAUGCCUAUCCGUCAUUAGGGGGCACUCUCGUGCGUCUGAGCAGCGCAGUGAGAAAAAUAAAAAUAAAAAGAGUGUUUUAUUUCGGGGAAACGGUUUUUAUGAUUGAGGCAUCCCGGACACGAGUGAGUUGAGGUGCGUGGACUGGAAGACAACACCGUCUGUUGUUUGGACAGGGAAAAAAAGGUAAUUCCUCGGUUGGGUGUUGGUCUGGUCGCUGAGCAGUUUGGAUCAGUCUGCGAUCACACAGAUUUCGUAUUUCUCCGUGGGUGAGAAAUAUCUGCGUAGAGGAAUCGUGCAGGCCGCGGAAAUCGAGCAGGGGAGAACGAAGGCACGUGAAGGUGCAUGUGAGGUGACAGCUGGGUGAAUUUCUAAUGUGACGCAGCACGCCACAGAAAAGCAUUAUAAGCCACUACCGUUGUUUAUCCAGGGGGUUAAGGGCUCACACCAAUUUAUUUGUACUGUGUUUAAUUAAUUUUAUUUUAUUUUGUGCUACUGUGGGGCUAUCAUGGUAAAGGGAAAGAAGGGGAAUUGGCGAAACUGGCCUGAAGUUAUUUUGGUAACUGUGAGCACGAGUUGAAGUGCUUAUAUUUUUGUUUUGUUUCUUUAUACCUUUGGGGAAGCGUGCUUUUGGUUGUGUUUAUUCUUCACUGUAUACAUUUCAUCGGCACAACUCCCCUUCAUGGAAAACCUUGAGUAUUAAUGCCGCGUCUUCUGCAUACGCGGUCGGAAAUAAAGAACCCCUAGUUUAGAUACUUGGCUGUGUUUGAGUUUCUUUAAGAGUUUACACA